UACGAAGGGGGCUAGCGUUGCUCGGAAUCACUGGGCGUAAAGCGCACGUAGGCGGACUCUUAAGUCGGUGGUGAAAUCCUGGAGCUCAACUCCAGAACUGCCUUCGAUACUGAGAGUCUCGAGUCCGAGAGAGGUGAGUGGAACCGCGAGUGUAGAGGUGAAAUUCGUAGAUAUUCGCAAGAACACCAGUGGCGAAGGCGGCUCACUGGCUCGGUACUGACGCUGAGGUGCGAAAGCGUGGGGAGCAAACAGG
rnacentral:rRNA from 1 species